UCGAGCUUGUGCCUGGCUACCCACUGCCCAGUAAGUACUCACCUUUUUAUUAAUCCAAUUUACCCACCUAUCAAAUACAAACCGAAUACAAUCACUGAAUCAUCUAUCAGCUACUAGUUAAUUAGAUAUGGGCUUGAGGCUUCUGAUGUGGAGCGCUGCGUUUUCUGUUCUUACCUGUCCGAACUCCGCCUAAUCCAUGGAUGUUUCUUCUUCUGCAGAGUAAUUCCGGAAUCUAAAGAUUAAACAAAGUCAUGGGUAGCAGCAGGCUAACAGAGUAGCAGGCAGCAGCUGAAAAGGGGGAAUUCUCAAUUCUGUGAUUACAAAAUUAAGGGGCAAGAGUUGUUGGCAGACACUCAUUUUUGUCGCAAAAUACUAUACUUUUGGCUUUGCUGUGACUUGUGAGACUGUGGUUGCUGCCUUGCUGGUUCUUGACUAUAGCAUGCAGGUACAUUUAUUAAUCUGUUAUGACUUAUGAGUUAAGAAAAUAUUUUGGUGUCCCCUCUAAGAUUAGAUCCUAGAUCCGCCCCU